CCAAGCCCUGGAACAGCAGCCUGGAAGCAUGUACUUUCACCAGAAGAGAUCUGACUAAGCUACCACCCGGGAUGACGUGGUGGUAAGCAGACACCCUCUGGGAAGGGCAGGAAUGUUCCACUAACAGGCUGUGCCCUACGAGCAUGAGGCUGUAUUCUUGGUGUGUCCAGCAACAAAGUGACAUAUUGAGUGGGGAUCUCAGGUCAUGGUUUGAAUGGUUAUUACUUUGAAACAGCCAAAAUCAGAAAUCAGGUUUUCUUUUGUUCUCUGCUGUGCCCUUACAAUUUUUCUUCUGAAAAACUGUUCAUUCAUAUCCUGUGUCUACUUAUCUACAAGAACCUAGCUUUUGUUGCUUCUUCUUCUCUGUCUACAAAUAGUAACCUGUGCUGCACCAAGGAGGGAAGUGAAGAUCAGAAGAUCUGAAUUUGAAUCCUCACUCUGUCACCUCUGUGACCUGGGACAAUUUACUUUACUUCUCUGUAGAUUUGUGCUCAUGUCCUUUCAUGAGUCCUGUGGAGAAAAUUUACCUGACAUUCUGGAGGCCAUUCCCUGGGUCUUUCAAAAAUUUGAAGGUAUCAGUAUAACACUGUAGUUGCUAAUUUAUUAAUCACUUGAUCUUAUUUCAUAACCAGGUCACCUCUUUUUCUGGUCUUACAAGUGUUUUUUUGUAUCACUUACUAUG